rnacentral:rRNA from 1 species
AAAUUGAAGAGUUUGAUCAUGGCUCAGAUUGAACGCUGGCGGCAGGCCUAACACAUGCAAGUCGAACGGUAACAGGAAGAAGCUUGCUUCUUUGCUGACGAGUGGCGGACGGGUGAGUAAUGUCUGGGAAACUGCCUGAUGGAGGGGGAUAACUACUGGAAACGGUAGCUAAUACCGCAUAACGUCGCAAGACCAAAGAGGGGGACCUUCGGGCCUCUUGCCAUCGGAUGUGCCCAGAUGGGAUUAGCUUGUU